GGCUUCAAGUGGACUAUCUGUAGAGGCCGGAUGAGCUAUAUGACUGCUCGACAUCAAAAAGAAUCUCGUACCAUAUCUAUUAGCAGUGGUGAUCAUCAAUCCAUGCAAAGAUAAUGAGUUAUGAACUCAUCUGAUUAGAUCUAACGGUUAGAUCUGAUUUACGGCAUCGAUAUGAUCGAUGCAGUUUUUUCUUUAUAUCAG
rnacentral:lncRNA from 1 species